rnacentral:rRNA from 1 species
UUUGUUACUUCAAACCAAUCGGACUUCGGUCUGACAUCAAGUGAUAUUGAACAAUUUAGCUGAUCGCACGGUCUAAGAACCGGCGACAUAUCCUUCAAAUGUCUGCCUUAUCAACUUUCGAUGGUAGGUUGUGCGCCUACCAUGGUUGUAACGGGCAACGGAGAAUCAGGGUUUGAUUCCGGAGAGGGAGCCUGAGAAACGGCUACCACAUCCAAGGAAGGCAGCAGGCACGCAAAUUACCCACUCCCGGCACGGGGAGGUAGUGACGAAAAAUAACAAGCUGGUCUCAAUGAGUUCCAGCAUUGUAAUGGGAACAAUUUAAAUCUUUUAUCGAGGAUCUAUUGGAGGGCAAGUCUGGUGCCAGCAGCCGCGGUAAUUCCAGCUCCAAUAGCGUAUAUUAAAGUUGUUGCGGUUAAAAAGCUCGUAGUUGGAUCUAGGAUUAGGGCUACGGUCGUUCAGCUUGGACGUACUGUAUGCCCGACUCCUUUUCUCUAGUAUUCGAUUGUUGCUCUUAAAUGAGUGACUUUAGUUGCUGGAACUUUUACCUUGAAAAAAUUGAAGUGCUCAAAGCAGGUU